UCUACGGGGAACGCAAUAGCUGGGACGCAUGUGCGUGUACGUUCGUGUGCUGCUCUCGUGUUUUUUGUACGUGAAAUGCAUCUCAGAGAGCUGAGGAACUACGAACAACCAUGCCUGAUUGUUGUGCAGCAACGGGACAGAGUCAGGCAAAGCCUUUUUCUGCAUUCCGACGGGCAAAAAUUACGAGACACGUAGAUCGGCACAGAAUCGGCCGGAAGAACUUCGCGCCUACGAAUAACACGCGCUUGAGCGAGGGCAAUCCCACGCGAUACCUCGAGGACAAGAAGAAUCGAAAGGAAGAAAUUGAAGUGAACGGCAGUCCGAAGCAUUUUCGCAUACCGGACACCUACGAGGCUGAGGAAAGCUCCUAUCCCCCGUUCUUCGCACGCAGAGUUCUCCGAGGAGUCACCAAAAGAGUUGCACCAAGUUGAUGACAUCCCAGUAGGAAGACAACACCGUCACAAAUUUCUGUGACCAGAGCAUCGAGGAACAUGCACAAGACAAACUGCAGACAAGCCAUGGUCCCCUCGACGAGAUCGCAGUCUUAAAAGAAAUGAGCAAAGGCUGAGAGAGAAUGUAGUGAUCUCAGGCUCACGGUCUACUCGUCAUGGAAGAUCAACUGCUUGCAUUGGAGCGGGGGAUUGGAAGAACAAUCCAUAGCACUUUACAUGCG